GAUGAACGCUGACAGAAUGCUUAACACAUGCAAGUCUACUUGAAUUGGGUUUUUUAACUUCGAUUUGGGUGGCGGACGGGUGAGUAACGCGUAAAGAACUUGCCUCACAGCUAGGGACAACAUUUGGAAACGAAUGCUAAUACCUGAUAUUAUGAUUAUAGGGCAUCCUAGAAUUAUGAAAGCUAUAUGCGCUGUGAGAGAGCUUUGCGUCCCAUUAGCUAGUUGGAGAGGUAACGGCUCACCAAGGCGAUGAUGGGUAGCCGGCCUGAGAGGGUGAACGGCCACAAGGGGACUGAGACACGGCCCUUACUCCUACGGGAGGCAGCAGUGGGGAAUAUUGGACAAUGGACCGAGAGUCUGAUCCAGCAAUUCUGUGUGCACGAUGACGUUUUUCGGAAUGUAAAGUGCUUUCAGUUGGGAAGAAAAAAAUGACGGUACCAACAGAAGAAGUGACGGCUAAAUACGUGCCAGCAGCCGCGGUAAUACGUAUGUCACGAGCGUUAUCCGGAUUUAUUGGGCGUAAAGCGCGUCUAGGUGGUUAUGUAAGUCUGAUGUGAAAAUGCAGGGCUCAACUCUGUAUUGCGUUGGAAACUGUGUAACUAGAGUACUGGAGAGGUAAGCGGAACUACAAGUGUAGAGGUGAAAUUCGUAGAUAUUGUAGGAAUGCGAUGGGAAGCCAGCUUACUGGACAGAUACUGACGCUGAAGCGCGAAAGCGUGGGUAGCAAACAGG
rnacentral:rRNA from 1 species